AAUGAACGCUGGCGGCAUGCCUAACACAUGCAAGUCGAACGAACCCUUCGGGGUGAGUGGCGCACGGGUGCGUAACGCGUGGGAACCUACCCUUAAGUUCGGAAUAACAGUGAGAAAUUGCUGCUAAUACCGGAUAAUGUCUUCGGACCAAAGAUUUAUCGCUUUUGGAUGGGCCCGCGUAGGAUUAGCUAGUUGGUGAGGUAAAGGCUCACCAAGGCGACGAUCCUUAGCUGGUCUUAGAGGAUGAUCAGCCACACUGGGACUGAGACACGGCCCAG
rnacentral:rRNA from 1 species